UACGGCAGCGUACACAUGCAGUCGAGCGCGAAAGCCCUUCGGGGUAAGUAGAGCGGCGGACGGGUGAGUAACGCGUGGGAAAUUGCCCAGUAGUGGGGGACAACAGCCGGAAACGGUUGCUAAUACCGCAUACGCCCUACGGGGGAAAGCGGGGGAUCUUCGGACCUCGUGCUAUUGGAUAUGCCCGCGUCGGAUUAGCUUGUUGGUGAGGUAACGGCUCACCAAGGCGACGAUCCGUAGCUGGUCUGAGAGGAUGAUCAGCCACACUGGGACUGAGACACGGCCCAGACUCCUACGGGAGGCAGCAGUGGGGAAUAUUGCACAAUGGGGGAAACCCUGAUGCAGCCAUGCCGCGUGUGUGAAGAAGGCCUUCGGGUUGUAAAGCACUUUCAGCAGGGAGGAAGGCUUGUAGAUUAAUACUCUGCAAGAUUGACGUUACCUGCAGAAGAAGCACCGGCUAACUCCGUGCCAGCAGCCGCGGUAAUACGGAGGGUGCGAGCGUUAAUCGGAAUUACUGGGCGUAAAGCGCGCGUAGGCGGUUAGUUAAGCUGGAUGUGAAAGCCCAGGGCUCAACCUUGGAACUGCAUUCAGAACUGGCUG
rnacentral:rRNA from 1 species